UGAGUUUGAUCUUGGCUCUUGAUGAAUGCUUGCACCACGCUUAAUACAUUGCUAGUAGAACGAUUUUUANAAAUAGUUGCGCAGAGGUGAGUAAAACAGAAGAAUUGUAAUUUUUAGUUUCAAGAAUAAAAGGNUAUUNUAUANAUUAAAGCAAUGCUUUACCUUAAUACUUUNAAAAGUUUNCUUUGCUAAUUAAACAGCUUCUGUAAAUUUAUGGUUGUUGGUUAUGGUAAAAGCUAACCAAGCCGAUGAUUUUUAGUUGGUCUUAGCGGAUGAUCAACCACAUUGGAAUUGAAAUAGUUCCAACUCUUUUUACAGAGCAGCAGUAGGGAAUCUUGGACAAUGCGCUAACGCGUGAUCCAGCGAUGGUGCGUGAAUGAAGACAAUUUUUUAUGAAUUGUAAAGUUCUUUUAUUGGCUAAAAAAAUGAUAUAACCAAAGAAAAAGCCCUUACCAAUAUGCGUGCCAGCAGUAGCGGUAAUACGUGAAGGGUUAGCAUUAUCAAUUAUUAUUGGGUGUAAAACAUUUGAAGGUGGCAUACAUGGUUGUUAAGCAUUUAAAAUUGUAGGUAACUGUAAUCUUGUGCUUAAAACACUGUUGCUUGGAGUUUAAAAGAGGAUAGUAUAACUAAACAAAUAGGCGUGAAAACUGAUGAAAUGUUUAAGAAUAUCAAAGGCGAAGGCAACUAUCUGGUUUUAUUACUGACACUAAAAAAUGAAGGCUUCGGUAGCAAAUCGGAUUAGAGACCCGAGUAGUCGAAUUGCUGUAAACGAUGGGUUCCAAUGAUUUGAAAAUUUAGAUUAUUAGGCUAACGCUAAAGAACCCUACCUGAAAAUUAAAACCGCAAGGUUGAAAUUCAAAAGAAUUGGCGGGAGCUUACAAAGAUGCUGGAUUGUGUGGUUUAAUUCGAUACUACGCGAAAAAUCUUACCAGUUUUUGCAUAAUACGUGUUUUGUUUGAUAAAAACUAAACAGUUUAAAUGUAAACAAGUAUAUACAGGUGUUGCACGGCUGUCGUCAACUCGUGCCGUAAGGUGUUUCGUUAACUCGAUAAACGGGUGUAACCCCACUGCUGAUAAAUUAGAUUCAGUAAAUUUUUUGCCUGAAGCAAAAUGAAAUGGGAUUACGACAAGCACUCGUGACCUUUAUAAACUGGGCUACUCACGCAAUACAAUAUUAACUACAAAACGAAGCGAUAAUGUACAAUUGGAGCAAACGUGAAAGGUUAAUUAUGUUCGGAUUAUAUGCUGAAAUCGCGUAUAUGAAGUUGGAAUCAUUAGUAAUCGGAAAUCAUCAUGUUUCGGUGAAUAACACUUUUAAGCUUUGCACACACCGCCCGUCACACGCUGGAAGUUUGUUUCUUUUGAAGAUUUGAUUGAGACNNUUUGUUUGAUUAACANGNUGANCAGUCAACUCCAUAAAAAAGNAAAUGACUAGAGUGAAGUCGUAACAAGGUAA
rnacentral:rRNA from 1 species